rnacentral:rRNA from 1 species
UGGGCAACCUGCCCCAGACACAGGGAUAACCCCGGGAAACCGGGGCUAAUACCGGAUACUCCGGUCGAACCGCAUGGCUCGAUCGGGAAAGCUCCGACGGUCUGGGAUGGGCCGCGGCCUAUCAGCUUGUUGGUGGGGUAACGGCCUACCAAGGCGACGACGGGUAGCCGGCCUGAGAGGGCGACCGGCCACACUGGGACUGAGACACGGCCCAGACUCCUACGGGAG